UAGGGAAUCUUCGGCAAUGGACGGAAGUCUGACCGAGCAACGCCGCGUGAGUGAAGAAGGUUUUCGGAUCGUAAAGCUCUGUUGUAAGAGAAGAACGAGUGUGAGAGUGGAAAGUUCACACUGUGACGGUAUCUUACCAGAAAGGGACGGCUAACUACGUGCCAGCAGCCGCGGUAAUACGUAGGUCCCGAGCGUUGUCCGGAUUUAUUGGGCGUAAAGCGAGCGCAGGCGGUUAGAUAAGUCUGAAGUUAAAGGCUGUGGCUUAACCAUAGUAGGCUUUGGAAACUGUUUAACUUGAGUGCAAGAGGGGAGAGUGGAAUUCCACGUGUAGCGGUGAAAUGCGUAGAUAUAUGGAGGAACACCGGUGGUGAAAGCGGCUCUCUGGCUUGUAACUGACGCUGAGGCUCGAAAGCGUGGGGAGCAAACAGGAUUAGAUACCCUGGUAGUCCACGCUGUAAACGAUGAGUGCUAGGUGUUAGACCCUUUCCGGGGUUUAGUGCCGUAGCUAACGCAUUAAGCACUCCGCCUGGGGAGUACGACCGCAAGGUUG
rnacentral:rRNA from 1 species